UUUAUGGAAUUGGAGAAUUUUGAUUUUCUCAGCUCCUCUUUUUAAUCCUUUGCUCAUAAUGACAUAGUUAAUCAAAACUUGAACGAUCACCAGUUCUAGACUGAUAUCAACUAAAAGUGUCAGAAAAUAAUACUUAGUCAGUUAGUCUAUUUGACACAGAAAUGAUAACAUUCAAUUCAAAGAAGUAGGUAAAGCCUUAGGGUUGAUUAUUGACGUAUUGCUUCUUUCGGGGCUGUGGCUUUUCUUAAUUAUACAGGAUCAACAGUUGAUUCAAAAUAUAACUGCACUCCAUUUUAUACCGGCAUGGAUAAAUAACAAUGUAACUGAUGUUUGUUGGUGUUUCAACUCUGCUUGAGGCUACAAAAAAAGCUAACUUCAAUGAUAUUAAAAGUCGAAUAUUAGCUGGAUAUGCAACUGGAAGGUACUGUAUUAUAUAAAUGACCAUUCCACAGUAGAAUUUAUUGUUAAUUCAAAGGCGUUUAUGUUAAUGCCAGAGUGAAUUUAGUAGAGGAAUUUGAUUGACAUAUACAUAGAUGAAUUCUAUUGGAUAUAUAGAGGCUUGCUUAGGUAACACUAAUGGCAACUGACUCUAAUUUACUUUGUAUGAAAACGAAAAUUGUAUUUGAAGAAAUCUCAGAUAGAAACUUGGCUAAAUGAAUGGUAUACUAGUCAAAGUUUUCUAUUUCUACUAGAUAGAAGAACUGUAAAUGCUUAGUUUUCUUUUCUUAAAUCGAUUGAGGAAUUCUGGUAAUUUGGCGUUGCGAGUAUUUUAGGUGGUAAGUUAAUUGUGAGCAGUGCUAAGGAAAUUGCUAUAUGGAUAUAGUAACACUUGACUGUACCAAUCAAGUAUUUUGUCACUUUUUUCCUUGUGUACAUAGCUACUUGAUUCCUUGUAUUUUGGAAUGGCAACUAGUCGAUUAGCUGUCUUCAAUGCAUCUAUAUUUUUCUCGUGCAAGAUUGCUGAGAACGAGCAUGAGCAUGGAUUGCUAUCUAAAAGUCUUUAUAUGAAUAAAAACCAACUUAGACUUGCGAUGGUGGUGACUUUGCCAUAGAAUGUGAAAUAAAACUAGACCCUGAAAAGAAAGUUAGAAUAUCAUAAGCUUGCAUUUUUACUCUGCCUUAUAUUACAAAUUAAUAGAUAAGUUUGGCUAAGCUUUACAAAGUCCACUUCUAAGUAAAUACGUAAGUUUUUAAGAUAAAUAACUUGUUUUGUUGGUCAAAAUUGGAAAUAAGCAACUAACUUCUUUUACUUAGAAGUGAGAAAAAAAGUAACUUAUCAGAAAAAGUUUAAAAACAAUAAUUUACUCAAAAAGUACCUCUGCUUACAUUUAAGCUUAGUCAUGUAUGCUCUUAGAAGGUAGUCAGAUCUGCUGUUCAUGAUCCUAGUGAUUUUAAGCACAUUUACCAUUUUACCUUAGUGAUUAUAACGAUUACAUUUAGUAGAAUGAUAUCAGUUCAUUCAAUUUACAUUAAUUUAACUGUUAACUGUCUUGAAAAGCUGCUAACGACGUGAUCUUCUGUUCCUGAACGAUGGAAACUGGUCCAACUGGCUUCAACUAGGAUAAACCAAUAUUAGUUGCACGGCGAAUAUCAGACAAGUAUCUUCCACAAUCCAUGGCAGAAGAAUUUCAAAAAGGGAAUUCCGAUUUGGUAAAGCUCAAGCUGAUUGAAGGCACCAGUCAUAUGCCUCAGGGGUACUUUUAAUAUAACUACCGAAAACUAUUGAUGUGUAUUUACCGUUAUUUUUUCUGCUUUCUUUUACCAUUUUAGCUUUACAGUUUGGAGAAAGUAGUCGACGCCUUGAGAUAUUUUUUUCUGAUGCACAAAAUGGAUAUUUACAUUGUUGAUC